AUUGAACGCUGGCGGCAGGCCUAACACAUGCAAGUCGAGCGAGCGGCGGACGGGGGAGUAAUGUCUGGGAGACUGCCUGAUGGAGGGGGAUAAAUAAUGGAAACGGUAGCUAAUACCGCAUACCCUCAGAUGUGUCCAGAUGGGAUUAGAUAGUAGGUGGGGUAACGGCUCACCUAGGCGACGAUCCCUAGCUGGUCUGAGAGGAUGACCAGCCACACUGGAACUGAGACACGGUCCAGACUCCUACGGGAGGCAGCAGUGGGGAAUAUUGCACAAUGGGCGCAAGCCUGAUGCAGCCAUGCCGCGUGUGUGAAGAAGGCCUUCGGGUUGUAAAGCACUUGCAGCGGGGAGGCGUUACCCGCAGAAGAAGCACCGGCUAACUCCGUGCCAGAAGCCGCGGUAAUAC
rnacentral:rRNA from 1 species